CACAGAGCCGCCCAGGCCACCUAGCGCCUAGGCGCCGCCUAGCCCGAUUUGUCAAAAAUUUCCUUGUGAUUCUUUACGUUAUCGUCUUGAUCUUGCCUCUUCUGUUGCUUGCGUCAAUUCUGGUCAAGCAUGGAAUUGAAAAUUAUCAUUGAUGUUGUCUGCUAAAGAACAAAUAGCAUGCGAUAUCACCUGUUAAACCCUUUUGCUCAGAAUUUCGUACUGGAAAUCAAAGUCCACUUCGGGAUGCAACAUAUUGAACUUAUGCACAUGUGGUAUGCUCUGGAUUUAGUUGUUCUUGCGGUUGAAGUGAUGAAGGACUAUGACUGGUGAAGUUUCAUGUUUUCCUUUGAAAUAUCAUGAUGGUGAAUGUCAUAAGUUCGCUUUUAAAUAUGGACGAUCUUUCUCUCAAUUAGGCUCAUUGUGCCUCACCUUGGAGCUAUUCUGAAUCACAUUACACAUGUGCUUCGGAGCAAACUCAUCUAACACGUAAAAAGGGAAACAAAUUAGUUGUAUCUUUCACGGAGAACUACUUGAUAUAUUACAUCGCUGUCUUCCUUCAACUAUAAGUUUAUAACUGAACUAGAUCAUGCUCUAAGUGAUGGCGUAAGUAGGGGUGGGAGACAAGCAUUGGAGUGGAGAGCGUCAAUUGCUAAACAUUUCAUUGACGAGUGGGAGCGGCAGUUGUCAAUUUUGCAGCGUCUUCUUUCGUUAUCUGAAUGCCAGUGGCAGUGGAAAGAGGCAUUGACUAUAUUACGUCCCGCACCAUCUAAGCUACUUAACCUGUGAGUUACAGGCCUUUUCUUCUUUGGGAAUUUAUAUAAUGAUCAAUUGGUUCUUGUGCAUGAAUUACUUUUUGGAUAUUUGUUAUAGAUCACUGGUUGUUUAUCCUAUAAGAGAAUGGUAGUUUAUGA